rnacentral:rRNA from 1 species
CCUACGGGAGGCAGCAGUAAGGAAUAUUGGACAAUGGCCGCAAGGCUGAUCCAGCCAUGCCGCGUGCAGGAUGACGGUGCUCUGCAUUGUAAACUGCUUUUGUUCGGGAAUAAACCUCUUCACGUGUGAGGAGUUGAAUGUACCGAAAGAAUAAGGGACGGCUAACUUCGUGCCAGCAGCCGCGGUAAUACGAAGGUCCCAAGCGUUAUCCGGAUUUAUUGGGUUUAAAGGGUGCGUAGGCGGGUUAUUAAGUCAGUGGUGAAAGCUCCCAGCUCAACUGGGAAACUGCCAUUGAUACUGAUAGUCUUGAGUAUGAUUGAAGUGGGCGGAAUGUGUCAUGUAGCGGUGAAAUGCUUAGAUAUGACACAGAACACCGAUUGCGAAGGCAGCUCACUAAGCCAUAACUGACGCUGAUGCACGAAAGCGUGGGGAGCAAACAGGAUUAGAUACCCUGGUAGUCCACGCCCUAAACGAUGAUCACUCGAUGUGUGCGAUAAACUGUACGNGUCCAAGCGAAAGCAUUAAGUGAUCCACCUGGGGAGUACGACCGCAAGGUUGAAACUCAAAUUGAAUUGACGGCGNGAGAGNGCGACGGACGACGAGAGGGAGGAGG